CACGCCCGUCACACCAUGGGAGUGGGUUUCACCAGAAGCAGGUAGUCUAACCGUAAGGAGGGCGCUUGCCACGGUGAGAUUCAUGACUGGGAUG
rnacentral:rRNA from 1 species